CAGCAGCCGCGGGAAUACGUAGGUGGCAAGCGUUGUCCGGAAUUAUUGGGCGUAAAGGGCUCGCAGGCGGUUUCUUAAGUCUGAUGUGAAAGCCCCCGGCUCAACCGGGGAGGGUCAUUGGAAACUGGGAAACUUGAGUGCAGAAGAGGAGAGUGGAAUUCCACGUGUAGCGGUGAAACGCGUAGAGAUGUGGAGGAACACCAGUGGCGAAGGCGACUCUCUGGUCUGUAACUGACGCUGAGGAGCGAAAGCGUGGGGAGCGAACAGGAUUAGAUACCCCUGUAGUCCCUGUCUCUUAUAC
rnacentral:rRNA from 1 species